GGGAAUUUAGCUUAAUAGGUAAAGCGUUUGUGUUUUCUGACUACUGCUUUCGCACAAAUUUGUCGGUUCGACUCCGACAAUUCCCACCA
rnacentral:tRNA from 1 species